UGAUUCUCGCUGUUGAACACAUCAGAUUUCCGAACUUCCCUCUCCUUUCAGGAUUCACAAUCGCAUCCAAGAUGAUUUUACAGAGAACUAAGAACGAAAUUUUCAGCUACAGCGGGAAUUAAGAUUGAAGAAGCAUCAGAAAUUAAAGGAGUUGGAUUCGGUUUUCAGUCAGUCUUGAUUCAAUGGCGUGUUUAUGCCGUGGGAAAGAAGAGAAGCUGGGGCAAAUUUUCCAGGCUUCCUAAUCCCCGGUUUGAUGUUGUAUGCUUGUGUGUGUGUGUGUUUUCAGUCAACUUUUGUUCGACCUGUGUUUGACCAUGAACCAUGUUUCUUCCAUUUCAUCACUGUCGGAUCACUAUGUUGCCUCUGUGCCACCCUGAAUUCACUAUAGAUUCAAGUUUUAAGUAACCAUUACAUUACAGUGCA